rnacentral:rRNA from 1 species
GAUGAACGCUGGCGGCGUGCCUAAUACAUGCAAGUCGAGCGAACGGACGAGAAGCUUGCUUCUCUGAUGUUAGCGGCGGACGGGUGAGUAACACGUGGAUAACCUACCUAUAAGACUGGGAUAACUUCGGGAAACUGGAGCUAAUACCGGAUAAUAUUUUGAACCGCAUGGUUCAAUAGUGAAAGACGGUCUUGCUGUCACUUAUAGAUGGAUCCGCGCUGCAUUAGCUAGUUGGUAAGGUAACGGCUUACCAAGGCAACGAUGCAUAGCCGACCUGAGAGGGUGAUCGGCCACACUGGAACUGAGACACGGUCCAGACUCCUACGGGAGGCAGCAGUAGGGAAUCUUCCGCAAUGGGCGAAAGCCUGACGGAGCAACGCCGCGUGAGUGAUGAAGGUCUUCGGAUCGUAAAACUCUGUUAUUAGGGAAGAACAUAUGUGUAAGUAACUGUGCACAUCUUGACGGUACCUAAUCAGAAAGCCACGGCUAACUACGUG